GCUGGGCACGGUGGCGGGCGCCUGUAAUCCCAGCCACUUGGGAGGCUGAGGCAGGAGAAUUGCUUGAACCCGGGAGGUGGAGUUUGCAAUGAGCCGAGAUCGUGCCACUGCACUCUAGCCUGGGUGACAGAGCAAGACUCUGCCUCAA
rnacentral:SRP_RNA from 1 species